GACCCUCUGAGUAGAUUUCUUCAUUUGGAGUUUUAUGGUGUUCUUGCUGAUAUCGUGGGUUCUUGCUUUCGUGAUUUCAGGUGUGUUAAGCUACUGUGACAGAUACAGUGAAGGCAUGAAACGUGUCCUCAAGACUUUUGGACCCAUUCCAGAGUUUUCCGGGGCCACUGUUGAAAAAGUUAACCAGGUACGCAGACCCCUUCUAGAGACUCGUGCGGGCCGAGGGGAAGCCCUGUUGCCACAGGUGACGUUUUAUUUGUAGCCAGGCUUUGCCUUGGAUCCUGGUGGUUCCUCACUCCUGACUUGGCGUCCACGGUCCUGUCGUGGUCACAGGAGACCUUAGAGCGGUGUGACCGAUGAACUGGUGGCUCGUCUGAAUGGUCUCAGAGGAGCUGCAGGCCUCUGUGGAUUCGGAAGGUUUAUGUUAAUUGAGGGGUUACUAAGCUGCUUUUGUUUUUAAGAGCAAAUGCACAGUUUGAAUAGCUAGGAACAGUUACUCUCCUGGUACGUUAGUUCCUCUGCACGCUCUGGGAUUUUUUGUCUUGUCUUUUCUCUUCCUAUUCCCAGGCCAUGUGUCUGAAGGUUCCCGCGGAUCCGGAGCAUUUAGCUGCCAGACGGCGGUGGAGGGACGAAUGUCUGCAGAGACUCGCCAAGCUGAAAAGG
rnacentral:lncRNA from 1 species